CAACAGCAGAAAGGAGGUGAUCCAGUGUCGAGAGAAGCAUUGGAGAAAGGUGUCGGAACAGCAUGGAGGAUUGCCGGCUAGGGCAGCCCCUGACCGGAUAAUGGUCCAUGUUGGCGGAUGUCUAACCGAUCCCCGCCUCCUAAUUCUCGAAGGGUCGCCCAUGCUCCGGGCGGCCCU
rnacentral:misc_RNA from 1 species